rnacentral:rRNA from 1 species
CCUACGGGAGGCAGCAGUGGGGAAUAUUGCGCAAUGGGGGAAACCCUGACGCAGCAACGCCGCGUGAACGAAGAAGGUUUUCGGAUCGUAAAGUUCUGUCAGAGGGGAAGAAUAAUGACGGUACCCUCAGAGGAAGCCCCGGCUAACUACGUGCCAGCAGCCGCGGUAAU